UACGUAGGGUGCGAGCGUUAAUCGGAAUUACUGGGCGUAAAGCGUGCGCAGGCGGCGAGCUGGGUCCGAUGUGAAAGCCCUGGGCUCAACCUGGGAAUUGCAGUGGAUACUGGCGAGCUAGAGUGCGGUAGAGGAUGGUGGAAUUCCCGGUGUAGCGGUGAAAUGCGUAGAGAUCGGGAGGAACACCCGUGGCGAAGGCGGCCAUCUGGACCAGCACUGACGCUGAGGCACGAAAGCGUGGGGAGCAAACAGG
rnacentral:rRNA from 1 species